rnacentral:misc_RNA from 1 species
UACGUAGGGGGCGAGCGUUGUCCGGAAUCAUUGGGCGUAAAGAGCUCGUAGGCGGUUCAGCAAGUCGGCUGUGAAAUUCCGAGGCUCAACCUCGGAACUGCAGUCGAUACUGCUGUGACUCGAGUCCGGAAGAGGAGAAUGGAAUUCCCGGUGUAGCGGUGAAAUGCGCAGAUAUCGGGAGGAACACCAGUAGCGAAGGCGGUUCUCUGGGCCGGUACUGACGCUGAGGAGCGAAAGCGUGGGGAGCAAACAGG